AGAGUUUGAUCCUGGCUCAGGAUGAACGCUGGCGGCGUGCCUAACACAUGCAAGUCGAACGAAGCUUGACGGAUGAUUUCUUCGGAAUGAAACCAGAUAUGACUUAGUGGCGGACGGGUGAGUAACACGUGAGCAACCUGCCUUUCAGAGGGGGAUAACGGCUGGAAACGGUCGCUAAUACCGCAUGAUGUGUUCGGAUGGCAUCAUUUGAACAUCAAAGAUUUAUCGCUGAAAGAUGGGCUCGCGUCUGAUUAGAUAGUUGGUGGGGUAACGGCCUACCAAGUCUGCGAUCAGUAGCCGGACUGAGAGGUUGAACGGCCACAUUGGGACUGAGAUACGGCCCAGACUCCUACGGGAGGCAGCAGUGGGGAAUAUUGCACAAUGGGGGAAACCCUGAUGCAGCAACGCCGCGUGAAGGAUGACGGUUUUCGGAUUGUAAACUUCUUUUCUUAGUGACGAAGACAGUGACGGUAGCUAAGGAAUAAGCAUCGGCUAACUACGUGCCAGCAGCCGCGGUAAUACGUAGGAUGCAAGCGUUAUCCGGAUUUACUGGGUGUAAAGGGAGCGCAGGCGGGACUGCAAGUUGGAUGUGAAAUACCGUGGCUUAACCACGGAACUGCAUCCAAAACUGUAGUUCUUGAGUGAAGUAGAGGCAAGCGGAAUUCCGAGUGUAGCGGUGAAAUGCGUAGAUAUUCGGAGGAACACCAGUGGCGAAGGCGGCUUGCUGGGCUUUAACUGACGCUGAGGCUCGAAAGUGUGGGGAGCAAACAGGAUUAGAUACCCUGGUAGUCCACACUGUAAACGAUGAUAGCUAGGUGUGGGGGGUCUGACCCCUUCCGUGCCGGAGUUAACGCAAUAAGCUAUCCACCUGGGGAGUACGACCGCAAGGUUGAAACUCAAAG
rnacentral:rRNA from 1 species